CAGAGACUUGGCUGUCAGCACUGCACCACUGGAGGGUUCCUUAUGCUUGCGAACCAGUUAGAUUCUAUACACAUAUGAAUCUUCCUCAUAUUCGAAUAUCUGAAUGUCAGACUCAAGCUGAUGAUAUAUGAGGUAUGGUCCUCGCUGUAUCAAUCAAGUCCCAUUGAAAUAUUGAAACGUUGUUCAUACAUCUUUGAAUGACCUUUUAUGUGCUGACAAUAUGUUCUGAAAUGAAGAGAUUUUACCCCUGAUGAAGUCUUGGAACAAGACGAAACGCGUUGGGUUAUUUAUCUAUCUAUUAUCUGAUGUUACCUCCGAAUCUACAAUAAGGAGAAGGAGGAAAUCGUAGUGAUAUAUCUACGCUUUUUCCUCAUCACUACAAACUGAUUGUUCAAAUUGUGCGACAAAUGUAAAUGUAUCAACUCUGUAUACUUAUGAACAUUUGUGUCGGGUUUAUAUGUUGUUUUAAUAAAUUUUUAUGUUAGUAUUUGUUAUCUGACGUAAUUUAUCCGGAGAGUACUGUGAGGGUCCGUUUUUAGGUAGGGCGUUGAUAUAACUCCCUUGGCGCCAUCUCCUCUAUUUCAUUUCAUAUUUUCACACAUUUAGUUCCUCCUAACAGGGAACUUAGAGGAUACAGGCAGCCAUAUAAUUAAUUAAUUUUAGUGUUU